rnacentral:rRNA from 1 species
UGGGUCUGCGUUUCAUUAGCUAGUUGGUGAGGUAAUGGCUCACCAAGGCGACGAUCAGUAGCUGGUCUGAGAGGAUGAUCAGCCACAUUGGGACUGAGACACGGCCCAAACUCCUACGGGAGGCAGCAGUGGGGAAUCUUGCGCAAUGGGCGAAAGCCUGACGCAGCCAUGCCGCGUGAAUGAUGAAGGUCUUAGGAUUGUAAAAUUCUUUCACCGGGGACGAUAAUGACGGUACCCGGAGAAGAAGCCCCGGCUAACUUCGUGCCAGCAGCCGCGGUAAU